CAGCAGCCGCGGUAAUACAGAGGGUGCAAGCGUUAAUCGGAAUUACUGGGCGUAAAGCGCGCGUAGGUGGUUCGCCAAGUUGGAUGUGAAAUCCCCGGGCUCAACCUGGGAACUGCAUCCAAAACUGGCGAGCUAGAGUAUGGUAGAGGGUGGUGGAAUUUCCUGUGUAGCGGUGAAAUGCGUAGAUAUAGGAAGGAACAUCAGUGGCGAAGGCGACCACCUGGCCUAAUACUGACGCUGAGGUACGAAAGCAUGGGGAGCAAACAGGAUUAGAUACCCCAGUAGUCCCUGUCUCUUAUAC
rnacentral:rRNA from 1 species